rnacentral:sRNA from 12 species
AAUUUUAAACAAUCUACUAGAUAACCAAGUGAAGAUAGGGUGAUACCUUGCUUGGAUUGUGUACAUAAUUCCCGUUGCGCUUGUUGUGAGAUAUUGCAGGAAGAUAAGUAACUCUCUUUUCGGGCAAUCGGAAGAGGUCAUGAAGUGAAAGAAGAUUGAGGGUGUACGCAGUAUGAAGAUUGUGCGUAGUUAGACCAUUAUCAGACGGUGGCGGUGACAAUAGACGCUCUCAGUGAGAGAAUAAUCUGGCAAGGCCUUAUGUAGCAGUAAGAACCAACCCAGAAACGCUAAAAUAAACCGUUUUGCACUUGAGGCCGAGCAAUCGGCCAAUAACACCAAAGAUAAGUACAAGUAGCCCAAAUGUGCAGAUGAACGAUACUGAUAUUGUUAUGCUAAAACAAAUAUUCUGAAUGUCGGGUGAAAGUUGGACGUAACCAGUCGUGCCUAGCCAUUGAACCGCUACGGAAGUUAUAGGGUCGCUCCUUAUGGCUCAGACCGUGGUAGGCUAUCGGUCAAUAAGUUGCGUACAAUCGAAGUAGAGCGAAGGCUCAUUUGAUAGAUUGUUUAAAG